rnacentral:tRNA from 2 species
GGUGGUGUAGUAUAGUGGUAAGUACAAUUCGUUGUGGCUCGGUGCAUACUCUGCCCACUACAAUGGUACCGAAUAGACCCAGGUUCGAUUCCUGGCACCGCCA